rnacentral:rRNA from 1 species
AGAUUGAACGCUGGCGGCAUGCCUUACACAUGCAAGUCAAACGGCAGCACGGGGGCAACCCUGGUGGCGAGUGGCGAACGGGUGAGUAAUACAUCGGAACGUGUCUGGUCGUGGGGGAUAACCAGUCGAAAGACUGGCUAAUACCGCAUGAGCUCGAAAGAGGAAAGCGGGGGACCCGUAAGGCCUCGCGCGACCCGAGCGGCCGAGUGUCGGAUUAGCUUGGUUGGCCGGGUAAAAGCCCACCGAAGGCGACGAUCCGUAGCUGGUUUGAGAGAACGACCAGCCACACUGGGACUGAGACACGCCCAGACUCCGUACGGGAGGCAGCAGGUGGGGUAAUUUGGACAAGUGGGCGACGUAACGCCUGGAUCCCAGCGAUGACCGUCGUG